rnacentral:rRNA from 1 species
AGGGAAAGAGGGAGGAAGGAAUAACACAUGCAAGUCGAGCGGAUGAAGGGAGCUUGCUCCUGGAUUCAGCGGCGGACGGGUGAGUAAUGCCUAGGAAUCUGCCUGGUAGUGGGGGAUAACGUCCGGAAACGGGCGCUAAUACCGCAUACGUCCUGAGGGAGAAAGUGGGGGAUCUUCGGACCUCACGCUAUCAGAUGAGCCUAGGUCGGAUUAGCUAGUUGGUGGGGUAAAGGCCUACCAAGGCGACGAUCCGUAACUGGUCUGAGAGGAUGAUCAGUCACACUGGAACUGAGACACGGUCCAGACUCCUACGGGAGGCAGCAGUGGGGAAUAUUGGACAAUGGGCGAAAGCCUGAUCCAGCCAUGCCGCGUGUGUGAAGAAGGUCUUCGGAUUGUAAAGCACUUUAAGUUGGGAGGAAGGGCAGUAAGUUAAUACCUUGCUGUUUUGACGUUACCAACAGAAUAAGCACCGGCUAACUUCGUG